rnacentral:rRNA from 1 species
UACGUAGGGUGCGAGCGUUAAUCGGAAUUACUGGGCGUAAAGCGUGCGCAGGCGGUUUUGUAAGCCAGAUGUGAAAUCCCCGGGCUUAACCUGGGAAUGGCAUUUGGGACUGCAAGGCUUGAAUCUGGCAGAGGGGGGUAGAAUUCCACGUGUAGCAGUGAAAUGCGUAGAGAUGUGGAGGAACACCGAUGGCGAAGGCAGCCCCCUGGGUCAAGAUUGACGCUCAUGCACGAAAGCGUGGGGAGCAAACAGG